rnacentral:rRNA from 1 species
CACGUAGGGUGCGAGCGUUUGUCCGGAAUUAUUGGGCGUAAAGAGCUCGUAGGCGGUGUGUCGCGUCGGCCGUGAAAACUUGCAGCUUAACUGUGGGCGUGCGGUCGAUACGGGCAUCACUGGAGUUCGGCAGGGGAGACUGGAAUUCCUGGUGUAGCGGUGAAAUGCGUAGAUAUCUGGAGGAACACCGGUGGCGAAGGCGGCAUCCUGGACCGGCAUUGACGCUGAGGCGCGAAAGCGUGGGGGAGCAAACAGGG